CCCAUUUUCAAAGCAGCCCGAUUUCAAAUUUCAAACAUCUGCCUUGCUUUCGCUGAUUCCCCGCAGUAUUUAAUUUUGGCCUGUUGACUUGAAACAAGGGGUGUUGAGAGUUAGAUAAGCCAAUGAUGGUCGAGUGCUGACCUUGAAAUUGCAAUCUCGAAAUAUUUGCCAUAGCCUCCUGGCCCGGGUGUGAACGGCACGGAAAGACAUAGCCAGACACGGUUUAUGUUAUCCGUUGCCGAUGGACCAACUAAAUCUGUACGUUUCAAGGGGCAUUCAUCCCUCGUUAUAUCCGUUCAGGUCGCCAUGAGCUUGAUUAUCAUUUCUUCAAAAAAAAAUUAAAAAGGAAGGAAGGAAAAGGUGGAAAGAAGACGAAAAACAAAAAGAGGGGGGAUGAUUGUUCAUUGCAUCAAGAGUUAAGAGCAACUGGUAAUAUUUUGGUCUUCAAAUAAUGGCCGUUCGAUGUUGGCCAUUGCAGGGGUUAUGAUCAUCGCGAGAACGGGCUACCUAAAGGGUAGAUGCUAGUCAUAAUGUCGGCAGAAGCAGUCAAGGGCCCUGAGAUGGCCAAUGACCAUUCCUUCGCAACAGCUUAGAACACUCUAUCCAUUCCAUAUUUAGAUAUGAAAGGUGCUCUCAGAAUUGCUAUCUUAAAUACGUUUCCCAUUUAGUUCCAUCAAUGAUUCUAGAUUUGA
rnacentral:sRNA from 2 species